rnacentral:rRNA from 1 species
AAAACGACUCUCGGCAACGGAUAUCUCGGCUCUCGCAUCGAUGAAGAACGUAGCGAAAUGCGAUACUUGGUGUGAAUUGCAGAAUCCCGUGAACCAUCGAGUCUUUGAACGCAAGUUGCGCCCUAAGCCGUCAGGCCGAGGGCACGUCUGCCUGGGCGUCACG